rnacentral:miRNA from 1 species
GGUCGGGCCUAACGGGUA